rnacentral:rRNA from 1 species
UACGUAGGGUCCAAGCGUUAUCCGGAAUUACUGGGCGUAAAGAGUUGCGUAGGUGGCAUGUAAAGCAGAUAGUGAAAGCGUGUGGCUCAACCAUACAUCCAUUAUCUGAACUCACAAGCUAGAGAACGAGAGAGGUAGAUGGAAUUCCUGAUGUAGGGGUAAUAUCCGUAGAUAUCAGGAGGAACACCGAUGGCGUAGGCAGUCUACUGGCUCGUUUCUGACACUAAGGCACGAAAGCGUGGGGAGCAAACAGG